rnacentral:rRNA from 1 species
GACGAACGCUGGCGGCGUGCCUAACACAUGCAAGUCGAACGGAGAUAUGAUUUCGGUUGUAUCUUAGUGGCGAACGGGUGAGUAACGCGUGAGCAACCUGACCUUCAGAGGGGGAUAACACCUGGAAACAAGUGCUAAUACCGCAUAAGACCACGACCCGACAUCGGGAUGAGGUCAAAGGAGCAAUCCGCUGAGGGAGGGGCUCGCGUCCCAUUAGAUAGAUGGCGGGGUAACGGCCCACCAUGUCGACGAUGGGUAGCCGAGCUGAGAGGCUGAUCGGCCACACUGGAACUGAGACACGGUCCAGACUCCUACGGGAGGCAGCAGUGGGGAAUAUUGGGCAAUGGGCGCAAGCCUGACCCAGCAACGCCGCGUGAGGGAAGAAGGCUUUCGGGUUGUAAACCUCUGUCCUUGGUGACGAAAAAAAUGACGGUAGCCAAGGAGGAAGCCCCGGCUAACUACGUG